AUGGCCUGGAAUCUUCUCUUCUUCCUCUUUCUUCACUGUACAGGGUCUUUCUCCCAACCUGUGCUGACACAGUUGCCUUCUGCAGUUGCCUCUCUGGGAGCCUCAGCCAAACUCACCUGCACCUUGAGUCAGGAGCACAGCACCUACAUGAUUUCAUGGUACCAGCAACAUCCAGACAAGGCUCCUAAGUAUUUGAUGUUACUUAACAAUGAUGGAAGCUACAGCAAGGGGGAUGGGGUCCCUGAACGCUUCUCUGGCUCCAGCUCUGGGGCUGAUCGCUAUUUAAGCAUCUCCAACAUCCUGCCAGAGGAUGAAGCUGCCUAUAUCUGUGGUGUAGGUUACAGCAUUGGAGGACAAUAUGGGUAA